GCAGUCGUGGCCUAGUGAUUAAGGCGAUGGACUAGAAAUCCAUUAGGGUCUCCCCGCAUAUGUUCAAACCUGUCGACUACG
rnacentral:tRNA from 2 species